CAGGGGAAGGAAAAAACAAAUCAUUCAGGGCCCAUCUCAGGUGACUGAUGAAUGCGGCACCGUUUUGAACGGGUACCUAAUCUGGUCCAGAUAUGCCUGCUGGGGCUGCAAGAACCAAGACACGUUCAAGCACGUUUGCUCCGGCAAGCUUGGGCGAGCAGGUCAAGACCUCAGAGUUUUAGAAAGCAGGGGCGAAGUUUUCAAGCACGAUGGGAACACCUGUAGGUGCAGGUGCCUGAGGGUCGGCCGACCACCUCGCAUCUGAGGCUGGAUCCGCACACGGAGAACGACAACUGCUCACAGGGACGUGCGUCCGGAGGAAAGUUGCGCCCCAGCUCUGUCCCUUGCCCUGGGAAUCUGCCUGCAGGACUGCUUGGAGGGCCAGCAGUCUCCCUUGACUUGGUUCUGCACCCGGGACUGACCGGCUACGUGGGCAGUGCAACCAGAACAUCCCCCGUCACCGUUCCAUUUCCGGAAAGUGAGGCCUCUCCCUUCAGAAGACAGCACUUGGCCUGGCAGUGUGUGAGUUCAGAGGCAAGCUGUCCGAACCGUCACCCAAACCUGACGCGAAUGGAACAACUGUGUUACACAGAAGCACAAGAUCACAACCAGCAACAAAAAUCAAAAUAAGCCAUCUUCUGGAAACACUUUCAUAAUACUACAAAAAUUACAAGAAACCCUCUAAGUUACCUGUGUACUUUCUAUGCUACUAGGCUAAGUUCAUGGACAGUCAGGAUUUAUCUUUUACAGGUUGCAUAGGACGCUCAUCGUACAAUGAUGGAAAACAGCCUGGCCCACAUGGCAAAACCUGGUCUCCACCAAAAAGUAUAAAAAUUAGCCCGGUGUGAUGGUGCGUGCCUGUAGUCCUAGCUACUCCUCGGGAGGCUGAGGUGGGAGGAUUGCUUGAGCCCUGGAAGGCUGUAGUGAACCAAGAUUGCACCAUUGCACUCCGGCCUGGGCAACAGUGUGAGACCCUGUCUCAAAAAUGAGAAGAAUGAAAAUUAAAAGGAUGAAAACAGUAUAUGAAAACCAAGCUUCCCGUACGAUGCCCUGCAUCUGUUGACAUUUUCUUGUCCUUGCGAGAAUCUUCCUACCACUCCAUGAAUCGACCUCUAGUACGGCUUAAACACUAAGUGGUCACAUAGCUAACCCCAGACAGGCUUAGAAGAUAAACCAAGAGGACAACUUCUUUGGGGGGAAAUAAAGUACACACUAGGAAGGAAUCUUAUUCCUUUGCCCGGAGCAAGCCCAGACUUUAAGAUUUGAUGCUCAGGGUUCGGGCAGCCAGCCUGGUUACCUGUCUCUUUGAAUAUCUUCUCAUCUGGGGGGACGACAGAGCAGAGGCUGUUGAGGACCAGGGUCCCCAGUUUGAGCGCGUUCUUCUCUGAACUCUUGUAGUAAUCCAGGGAAUUGUGGGUGAGUACAAACCACCGUUUCUUCAGUUUCAGUGAAGACAUCUUUGGACUGUUCUUCACCUCUUUGUGCAACCAUCCUGGAAAAAAAGAUUAAAGUGUAAAUUAAAAUCUGUGAGGAGAAACCCCAAAGACCACACAAUCAUCUGCAUAAUGCUAACACAUGGGUGGGGUUUCUAGCUGUUUGCCAGAAAAAGACCACGAACACCCCAACCCGAUGUAAAUGGAACGACUACAUGAAAGAAAAGCCCAAAAUCACAACUAGCAACAAAAAACAUGACCCUCUAGAAACACUUUAUAAUAUCACAAAUUAAAAAUCACUUACAAAAUCUCCAACAGUUAAAAUGACUGGGAAAAGCAGCUCGAAAUGAAAAUGCUGCAGAUGUCUAUAUGCAAAUGGAAAGGGGAGUCUGUUAAGCAGACCGAGGAAGCAGGGCAGGCAGUCACCUCUCACGAUGAAUUCCUGGCCCUCCACUCUGGUG
ensembl:lncRNA RETREG1-AS1 RETREG1 antisense RNA 1